rnacentral:rRNA from 1 species
UACGUAGGGUGCAAGCGUUGUCCGGAAUUAUUGGGCGUAAAGAGCUCGUAGGCGGUCUGUUGCGUCGGCUGUGAAAACCCGGGGCUCAACUCCGGGCCUGCAGCCGAUACGGGCAGACUGGAGUACUGCAGGGGAGACUGGAAUUCCUGGUGUAGCGGUGGAAUGCGCAGAUAUCAGGAGGAACACCGGUGGCGAAGGCGGGUCUCUGGGCAGUAACUGACGCUGAGGAGCGAAAGCGUGGGGAGCGAACAGG